UACGAAAGGGGGCUAGCGUUGUUCGGAAUCACUGGGCGUAAAGCGUAUGCAGGCGGAUCGCUAAGUCAGGGGUGAAAUCCCGAGGCUCAACCUCGGAACUGCCUUUGAUACUGACGAUCUUGAGUCCGGGAGAGGUGAGUGGAACUGCGAGUGUAGAGGUGAAAUUCGUAGAUAUUCGCAAGAACACCAGUGGCGAAGGCGG
rnacentral:rRNA from 1 species